rnacentral:rRNA from 1 species
ACGCUCGACACCUACGGGAAGGCAGCAGUCGGGAAUAUUGCGCAAUGGAGGAAACUCUGACGCAGUGACGCCGCGUAUAGGAAGAAGGUUUUCGGAUUGUAAACUAUUGUCGUUAGGGAAGAGAAAGGACAGUACCUAAGGAGGAAGCUCCGGCUAACUACGUGCCGAGCACGCCGGACGGUAAUCUGAGGCGGGCGUGGACGAAGGC